UACGUAGGGUGCAAGCGUUGUCCGGAAUUAUUGGGCGUAAAGAGCUCGUAGGCGGCUAGUCGCGUCGGCUGUGAAAACCUGGGGCUUAACCGCAGGCCUGCUUCCGAUACGGGCGAGCUAGAGUUCGGCAGGGGAGACUGGAAUUCCUGGUGUAGCGGUGGAAUGCGCAGAUAUCAGGAGGAACACCGGUGGCGAAGGCGGGUCUCUGGGCCGAUACUGACACUGAGAAGCGAAAGCGUGGGGAGCGAACAGG
rnacentral:rRNA from 1 species